GGAGAGGUGGAGAGAGGGGGAGACGAUGGAGAUUGCCACAGCGCCCCUUGUAGGACUGGAGGAGGAUCUGUCCCGCUGUCCUUCGGGCUGGACUACAGCGGUAAAGCCCAGGUUUCUUCAGCAAAGAUAGAGCGGGCAACAGUGACUAUGGCUGGGAGAAGAAGACACAAAGUUGUCCUCCAGGAUCAAGGCUAAGCUGCCUCAAUUUUAGGGGAAAAGGCUGGUCCCUGACUAGUCCAGGACUUCCUGUCACCUCUUGCCUAACACAUCCGUCUGGCUGUGAAGUGAUUCUCUGCAUCCUAUGCUAUGGUAACCAGAUCCAUACGGACCCCAGGACCAGACAUCUUAGAACCUUGAAUCCAAAGAGUGGGGAUAAUAAUAUCUUCCCUUCCAACCUCAGAAAAACCAACAUUUGAAUCUGCUAUGUACCAGAAAGUAUUCUCUCUACCACCCCUCCCCACUUCAUACCGGCUGAAAGCCUGGGUAACUGGAAGAUGAUGGAGAAGGCUGUCUGACUCUAAUAAUAGCAGAUAUUGCUCUGCUCCUGUUUUACCUCCAUGUGAUUCGUCGCAUUUCCAUGCUGUUUAUUUCCUGGUUAUUAAAGCCUUGUGAUCCCAUGGGAGGCUGGUGAUUUCCUCAGGAGGAUCUGGGAACGAUAAGAAGCGUCGUGAGACGAGCUGGACUGCUCAGACGCAAAGUUUCCUGGAUGAUAUGAUACAAUAGGUUGAGCACGCACAUUCUCCUUCGCAGAAUGGUCCCCCAGGAUCCUGGAGAAACUUCUAGCUUCAAGGAGCUUGUGUGUGCCUCAGGGCUUCUUGUGAGGCAGGAUGCAUAGGACACAGGCUUGUAAAUGAAGGUGGGUAGGGAGCAUUCACAACCCUUCACUGAGGGGAGAGGCCGGAUUGGGGGUUGGUAGUGCGGGGAGUAUGGGAGCCUCGCUGUUAUAAUAUUAUAGUGCGCUUCU